rnacentral:rRNA from 1 species
CGUGCACGCUGGCGGUAGGCCUAACACAUGCAAGUCGAACGGCAGCACAGUAAGAGCUUGCUCUUACGGGUGGCGAGUGGCGGACGGGUGAGGAAUACAUCGGAAUCUACUUUUUCGUGGGGGAUAACGUAGGGAAACUUACGCUAAUACCGCAUACGACCUACGGGUGAAAGCAGGGGAUCUUCGGACCUUGCGCGAUUGAAUGAGCCGAUGUCGGAUUAGCUAGUUGGCGGGGUAAAGGCCCACCAAGGCGACGAUCCGUAGCUGGUCUGAGAGGAUGAUCAGCCACACUGGAACUGAGACACGGGCCAGAGUCCUACGGGAGGCAGCAGUGGGGAAUAUUGGGCAAUGGGCGGAAGGCUGAUCCAGGCAUAGCGCGUGGGUGAAGAAGGCCUGCGGGUUGUAAAGCCCUUUUGUUGGGAAAGAAAAGCAGCAGGUUAAUACCCCGCUGUUCUGACGGUACCCAAAGAAUAAGCACCGGCGAACUGCGU